UACGUAGGCAGCGAGCGUUGUUCGGAGUUACUGGGCGUAAAGCGUGCGUAGGCGGUGCCAUAAGUCUGUUGUGAAAUCUCCCGGCUCAACUGGGAGGGUGCGGUGGAAACUGUGGUGCUGGAGUGUGGGAGAGGUAGGCGGAAUUCCUGGUGUAGCGGUGAAAUGCGUAGAUAUCAGGAGGAACACCAGCGGUGUAGACGGCUUACUGGACCAUGACUGACGCUGAGGCACGAAAGCGUGGGGAGCAAAC
rnacentral:rRNA from 1 species